rnacentral:rRNA from 1 species
AGUGAACGCUGGCGGCAGGCCUAAUACAUGCAAGUCGAACGGCCGCACAGUAAGAGUUUGCUCUUACGGGUGGCGAGUGGCGGGCGGGUGAGGAAUACAUCGGACUCUACUUUUUCGUGGGGGUUACCGUAGGGAAACUUACGUUAUUACCGCAUAUGUCUUACGGGUGAUAGCAGAGUAUCUUCAGACCUUGCUCCUUUCACUUAUCGGGUGUCGUACUAGCUAGUUGGUGGGGUAACGGCUCACCAAGGCGACGAUCCAUAGCCGACCUGAGAGGGUGAUCGGCCACACUGGGACUGAGACACGGCCCAGACUCCUAAGGGAGGCAGCAGUAGGGAAUCUGCCGCAAUGGACGAAAGUCUGACGGAGCAAUGCCGCGUGAGUGAAGAAGGUGUUCGGAUCGUAAAACUCUGUUGUAAGGGAAGAACAAGUACGUUAGUAACUGAACGUACCUUGACGGUACCUUACCAGAAAGCCACGGCUAACUACGUG